AUUGAACGCUGGCGGCAUGCCUUACACAUGCAAGUCGAACGGUAACAGGUCUUCGGAUGCUGACGAGUGGCGAACGGGUGAGUAAUACAUCGGAACGUGCCUAGUAGUGGGGGAUAACUACUCGAAAGAGUGGCUAAUACCGCAUGAGAUCUACGGAUGAAAGCAGGGGAUCGCAAGACCUUGUGCUACUAGAGCGGCCGAUGGCAGAUUAGGUAGUUGGUGGGAUAAAAGCUUACCAAGCCGACGAUCUGUAGCUGGUCUGAGAGGACGAUCAGCCACACUGGGACUGAGACACGGCCCAGACUCCUACGGGAGGCAGCAGUGGGGAAUUUUGGACAAUGGGCGCAAGCCUGAUCCAGCAAUGCCGCGUGCAGGAUGAAGGCCUUCGGGUUGUAAACUGCUUUUGUACGGAACGAAACGGCCCUUUCUAAUACAGGGGGCUAAUGACGGUACCGUAAGAAUAAGCACCGGCUAACUACGUGCCAGCAGCCGCCGUAACAC
rnacentral:rRNA from 1 species